rnacentral:rRNA from 1 species
AUACGGAGGGUGCAAGCGUUAUUCGGAAUCACUGGGCGUAAAGGACGCGUAGGCGGGUUGGCAAGUCAGAUGUGAAAUCCUACAGCUUAACUGGAGAACUGCAUUUGAAACUGCUAACCUAGAGUAUGGGAGGGGGAGAUGGAAUUAGUGGUGUAGGGGUAAAAUCCGUAGAUAUCACUAGGAAUACCGAAAGCGAAGGCGAUCUCCUGGAACAUAACUGACGCUAAGGCGUGAAAGCGUGGGGAGCAAACAGGAUUAGAUACCCUAGUAGUCC